rnacentral:sRNA from 1 species
GACUAGCCCUGAUAGUAGUGGAAAUCCUUUUGUGAGCUUCUUUAGCGAACAAAAGAUUGAAACGGAUAGCAGGAAUCAGC